UACAGAGGUCUCGAGCGUUAGGCGGAAUCACUGGGCUUAAAGCGUGUGUAGGCGGAUCGUUAAGUGCCUUGUGAAAUCCCACGGCUCAACCAUGGAACUGCUCGGUAUACUGCGAAUCUUGAGCCACUUAGGGGCUACCGGAACAAAUGGUGGAGCGGUGAAAUGCGUAGAUAUCAUUUGGAACGCCAAUGGUGAAAACAGGUAGCUGGGAGUGUGCUGACACUGAGACACGAAAGCCAGGGGAGCGAACGGG
rnacentral:rRNA from 1 species